rnacentral:rRNA from 1 species
AUGGAUUGGGAUUGGAGAGAGAAGUACGAGGUGGCUUGGGCCUUGGGUGCUCCUAAUGCGCAACUGACACAAAAGGCACAAGGUGCUGAUGAUUGCAGUGACUCAGAGUAUGACCGAGAUGCUGAAGAGGAGGCCUAUGUAGAGGAAGAGGAUUUGAGAGAUGAAGAGGAGGUCGCUCUUGCUAAGUCCAAAGCAAUGAAAAUAUGUCAAAUGAAUAAGGAAAACCGAGAAGCUGUCAGGCAACACCAAAAGACGGGAUAUAUGUCCUAUGUUUCCUAUUUCAGCAAACUUAAUGCGAUGGAAAAGAAAAGGGAAGCACAAUCAGAAGGUGAGCAGCCAGUAUCCGAUAAAUCGAUUGUGGCUGAAGUUCUAAAGGAAGAAAGCGCCCAUAGCACCGUCCUUUCUAGCAUGGGGCAUCGGGAGGAGUUAGUCGCAAGACUUGAAGCACGAGAGAGAGCAUUUUAA